CCCUUUGUAGCUCAGUUGGUAGAGCGCCAGACUGUAAUGGUUUCAAUUGGAAUCUGGAUGUCACCUGUUCGAUCCAGGUCGAAGGGA